UACGGGGGGGGGCAAGCGUUGUUCGGAAUUACUGGGCGUAAAGCGCGCGUAGGCGGACCUGCAAGUCGGGGGUGAAAGCCCGAGGCUCAACCUCGGAACUGCCUUCGAUACUGCGGGUCUCGAGUCCGGGAGAGGUGAGUGGAAUUCCUAGUGUAGCGGUGAAAUGCGCAGAUAUCAGGAGGAACACCAAUUGCGAAGGCAGCUCGCUGGGACGUUACUGACGCUGAGACGCGAAAAGCGUGGGGAGCAAACAGG
rnacentral:rRNA from 1 species